rnacentral:pre_miRNA from 1 species
AGGCAAGAUGUCGGCAUAGCUGAUUGAUAUAAUAUACGGCUGUGUCACAUCGAGCCAGC